UACGGAGGGGACUAGCGUUGUUCGGAAUUACUGGGCGUAAAGGGCUCGUAGGCGGCCAACUAAGUCACACGUGAAAUCCCCAGGCUUAACCUGGGAACUGCGUGUGAUACUGGAUGGCUUGAAUUCGGGAGAGGGAUGCAGAAUUCCAGGUGUAGCGGUGAAAUGCGUAGAUAUCUGGAGGAAUACCGGUGGCGAAGGCGGCAUCCUGGACCGACAUUGACGCUGAGGAGCGAAAGCUAGGGGAGCAAACGGG
rnacentral:rRNA from 1 species